rnacentral:rRNA from 1 species
AUUGAACGCUGGCGGCAGGCCUAACACAUGCAAGUCGAGCGGAUGAAGGGAGCUUGCUCCUGGAUUCAGCGGCGGACGGGUGAGUAAUGCCUAGGAAUCUGCCUGGUAGUGGGGGAUAACGUCCGGAAACGGGCGCUAAUACCGCAUACGUCCUGAGGGAGAAAGUGGGGGAUCUUCGGACCUCACGCUAUCAGAUGAGCCUAGGUCGGAUUAGCUAGUUGGUGGGGUAAAGGCCUACCAAGGCGACGAUCCGUAACUGGUCUGAGAGGAUGAUCAGUCACACGGGAACUGAGACACGGUCCAGACUCCUACGGGAGGCAGCAGCGGGGAAUAUUGGACAAUGGGCGAAAGCCUGAUCCAGCCAUGCCGCGUGUGUGAAGAAGGUCCUCGGAUUGUAAAGCACUUUAAGUUGGGAGGAAGGGCAGUAAGUUAAUACCUUGCUGUUUUGACGUUACCAACAGAAUAAGCACCGGCUAACUUCGUG